ACCCGGUCACGUGGCAGAGUUUCGUCCAAUCAAAAGUGUCUCUAUGUUGUUGCCUACGCAAGCUGGUGAGUUUUCUUUUUCCGCCACUUUCAUGAUCUCAAUUUCGACACUUUAUAGCGUGCAAAAAAAAUAUUACACAAAAAAUUAACUUUUUUUGUAACUAAUCAGUUCGUUUUUUUUUAUUUUAUGGGAACUAGCAGAAAUUGUAACGUGAUCAAUCCGUAAACUGUACGACUCUACUCAAAAAUUGCUCUACUACGACUCUACGAACCAUGGCAAAAAUAUGGCGGCCUCCACUGUCGCACUGACUGUCGCAUAACAAACUACAGCAACAAACGCCGCCUUUCUGACUGCAAAAAGUUACAAAGUUUUUUUGGUUAACUUAGUGGUCACUGCGUGCGUUAAGGAAUAUUUGUCUCGGGCAACAAGAUCUUCCACAAUGAGAAUAGCCGUAGAAGGAUGUGCGCACGGGGAACUUGACAAGAUUUACGAGACAAUCCAAGCCAUAGAAGAGCGCCACAAGUUCACCGUUGACCUCUUAAUAAUCUGCGGCGACUUCCAAGCGGUGCGAAAUGCGUCGGACAUGGACUGCAUGGCUGUCCCCAAAAAGUACCAGGAGAUGAAGGACUUCCACAAGUACUACUCGGGAGAGAAGAGGGCGCCACUGCUGACCCUCGUGAUUGGUGGGAAUCACGAGGCCUCUAACUACCUGGCAGAACUGGCCUUUGGGGGCUGGCUGUGUGAAAACAUCUACUACAUGGGCUAUGCAGGUGUGGUGAACGUGAAUGGCGUGAGGAUAGCGGGGAUCUCGGGGAUCUACAAAGGACCCGACUACAUGAAAGGUCACUUCGAGGUUCCACCCUACAACGAGUCUACAAAGAGGAGUGCCUAUCACCUGCGAAACAUUGAAAUCUUCAGGCUCAGACAGCUGCGCGAGCCCCUGGACGUGGUGGUAUCCCACGACUGGCCCCGGGGGGUCUACAACCACGGGGACAAGGAGGCCCUGCUGCGGCGCAAGAAGUUCUUCCGGGCCGAGGUGGAGACCAACCGCCUGGGCUGCCGCCCCACCGAGGAGCUGCUCGAGCUGCUCCGGCCACGCUUCUGGUUCGCCGCCCACCUGCACUGCAAGUUUGCCGCCCUGGUGCAGCACCAGGACGGAACCUGCACCAAGUUCCUGGCGUUGGACAAGUGCCUGCCGAGACGCGACUUCCUUCAGAUCUUGGAUGUGCCCACCCCGACAAGCGGUCCAGCGAAGCUGAGUUACGACGCGGAGUGGCUGUGCGUACUCAGGGCCACCGACCACUUGCUCCACGUGGAUGCCAAGAGCCACUACAUGCCGGGACCGGGAUGCAACGAACGCUGGGAGUUCACGCCGAGCGAGGAGGAGAAGCGAGAGCUGCGGGAGGCGAUACUGUCGGGCGACCUCCACGUGCCGGCCUCCUUCGAGCGGACGGCCCCGCCCCACGUGCCGGGCUCGGAGCGCAGCCCCGGCCGCCCCCGGCCCCACCUGAACCCCCAGACGCAGGCGCUGUGCCGGCGGCUGGGGCUCCGGGACCCCCUGGAGCGGGCCCUGUCGCCGGGCAAGGGGGCCCCAUCCCUGGACGUCUCCAGCUUCCUGGGCCACGAGGAGGCCACGCGGGGAAGCCCGCCUCCCGAGGGCCUCAACGACACCCGCCCCUCGGACGAGGAGGGCGACGGGGCCGGCGAAGGAGGCGACGACGAGGACCAGGACCUGGCAGGGGAAGAGCCCCUGCCGCUGCUGGAGAUGAGCUCGCUGGAGCGCCGCAAGGUGCACCUGCGGGAGUUCGGCAGCCCGCUGGAAGCCGCCCCUUUCGGUGCGGACGCAUUUCCCGAGGCACAGGAGACACCCCGGGAGAGGCCCCAGGCACAGCCCUCCUCGGCCAGCAAGAUGAUGAAGCGGAGAAACCGGGCCAUCUACGCCGAGGAGGAGGAGGACCAGCCGUGAAUGGCCUUCUCGGUCCCACAACGUCGCGCGUGCGACGCUUACUACAAGUCGGAAAGGAUCGCCGUGUAAAUAAAACGUUUUGGAAGGUCCCCCCCCGCACCAGACGCUGCUCCUAGCACACCGAUGCAAAGUGGUGAAGAUUGAUGCACGAGCACCCGUGCGAGGCAGGGAAGCUUGACGCAAGCGGGGAUGUGGUGCCAAGACACGGAGGCACGUUGCCGAGAAGAUAACCGAGCGAUCUUGUCGGGAGCAAGAGACCUUGGUUAUGCCUUAAAACUGCGGGAGUGCGAAUAUUCACAUUUUCAAAUACGAAUUGAAAAAAUUAAAAUAUGAAUUCAAAUACGAA